rnacentral:lncRNA from 10 species
CUGCUACAGGGGCUCCCAGCGGCCUCCCGCACCGAAGGGACCCUGGGCGUCUGAGGCCCUGAUCCGGGCGGGCCUUCAGGAUGUUAGCAGUCCCUGUCCGGUUGAAGGUAGGAAGCCGAAAACCCGAGUGGGGGACGAACAGACUUACCUCCUGUCCCGCAAAAGAUCCACUAGAUCGUCGUCUCCAAAACCUGAGAGACCGCGAACGGGUUCCAGAGCCGCAGCGUUCUCUCAGACCUGGCGUUCAGGAAGAUUCUAGAGAGCACGGGCAGGUCCCGGAGGUCUCAGACCCGCAGGCCUGCGGGGCGGGGGCGGGGUGGCGCCCAGGACGACUCCCCGGGCUCAGCUUGGCUGCCUGCCUCCUUCUGUAAGUGCUUUUUUUUUCUUCACCUGGGACCCUCUAGAGGUUGGAAAGAGAAGAGAGGCUGGGAGCGGAUGGAAAGCAUGACUGCAUCUGGAGCCCCUGGGGGGAGUGGGGAAGAGGGAGUGGAAGGACAGUGGCUGAGGGGCUUCCUGUUGCAGCCUUCAGCUGGACUCAGGGUUGGGGUCACUGGAGGAGGAGGUGGCUUCCUGCCCCAUUGUUCUGGACUGCAGUGUUUCUUGGGAAUACUUACUGUAUGUGGAUUUUCAGUAACCAACUUGGAAAGCUGUAUUUGUUCCCAUGAUUCAGCAAACAAUGAGUACCUACUGUGUGUAGAAGCAGCAGGACAGCCUGUCAUCACUGGGAAAGAGGCCAGAAGAGCCGUUUGGCCAGGGUCUCCAAUUUAGGCUUUCAACAUUAUCUCUAAAGAAGGUUAUACAUUAUGUCGGCUCCACUGGCUGAUGGGAUCAAAGACCCUCCUUGUAUAUCCUUAAACCUGUACUCUAUUACCAGGCCACUGUGCCUGUGGAGCACUGUAAGUUCCUACCUUUUAAUAAAUUUUAUAAUUAUCUUGUGAGCAGCACAAUUGUCAUAGUUUUUUGUAUCAGAAACAUUAAUUUGUUAAACAUUUUAAAA